rnacentral:rRNA from 1 species
GAUGAACGCUGGCGGCGUGCCUAACACAUGCAAGUCGAACGAAGCACUUUAAAUAGAUUUCUUCGGAAUGAAGUUUUUUGUGACUUAGUGGCGGACGGGGGAGUAACGCGUGGGUAACCUGCCCAGUACGCGGGGACAACAGUUGGAAACGACUGCUAAUACCGCAUAAGCCUACGGUGUCGCAUGACACAGUAGGAAAAAUUCCGGUGGUAUUGGAUGGGACCGCGUCUGAUUAGCUAGUUGGUAAGGUAAUGGCUUACCAAGGCGACGAUCAGUAGCCGGCUUGGGAGAGGGACCGGCCACAGUGGGACUGGGACACGACCCGAAGACCUACGGGAGGCGGAAGUGGGGAAGAUGGCACAAUGGGGGAAACGCUGAGGCAGCAACGCCGCGUGAGUGAAGAAGUAUUUCGAUAUGUAAAGCUCUAUCAGCAGGGAAGAUAAUGACGGUACCUGACUAAGAAGCAGCGGCUAACUACGUGCCAGCAGCCGCCGCCG